rnacentral:rRNA from 1 species
AGGCNGCAGUGGGGAAUAUUGCGCAAUGGGGGNAANCNNGNCGCAGCAAUNCCGCGUGAGCGAUGAAGGCCUUCGGGUUGUAAAGCUCUUUUAGUAGGGANGAUAGUGACGGUACCUACAGAAAAAACUCCGGCUAACUCCGUGCCAGCAGCCGCGGUAAUACGGAGGGAGUAAGCGUUGUUCGGAAUUACUGGGCGUAAAGAGCGCGUAGGCGGUUUUGUAAGUCAGAAGUGAAAUCCUGGGGCUCAACCUCAGAACUGCUUUUGAAACUGUGAGACUGGAGUUCGGCAGAGGAUGGCGGAAUUCCCCGUGUAGAGGUGAAAUUCGUAGAUANNGGGAGGAACACCAGAGGCGAAGGCGGCCAUCUGGACCGAUACUGACGCUGAGGCGCGAAAGCGUGGGGAGCAAACAGGAUUAGAUACCCUNGUAG